CAAGUCGAACGCGAAAGUUUCCUUCGGGAGACAAGUAGAGUGGCGCACGGGUGAGUAACACGUAGGUAAUCUACCUUUGGAUGGGGAAUAACAACCGGAAACGGUUGCUAAUACCGCAUAAUGCAGCGGCACCUAAUGGUGACAGUUGUUAAAGCGGGGGAUCGAAAGACCUCGCGUCUAAAGAGGAGCCUGCGGCGGAUUAGCUAGUUGGUAAGGUAAUGGCUUACCAAGGCUACGAUCCGUAACCGGCCUGAGAGGGCGGUCGGUCACACUGACACUGACAUACGGGUCAGACUCCUACGGGAGGCAGCAGUCGGGAAUUUUGGGCAAUGGGCGAAAGCCUGACCCAGCAACGCCGCGUGAAGGAUGAAAUCCCUCGGGAUGUAAACUUCGCAAGAACGGGAAGAAUAAGUAGGGGACAAUACCCCCUAUGAUGACGGUACCGUUUGUAAGCUCCGGCUAACUCCGUGCCAGCAGCCGCGGUAAUACGGGGGGAGCAAGCGUUGUUCGGAUUUACUGGGCGUAAAGGGCGCGUAGGCGGUCAGCACAAGUCAGUUGUGAAAUCUCCGAGCUUAACUCGGAAAGGUCAACUGAUACUGUGCGACUAGAGUGCGGAAGGGGCAACUGGAAUUCUUGGUGUAGCGGUGAAAUGCGUAGAUAUCAAGAGGAACACCUGCGGCGAAGGCGGGUUGCUGGGCCGACACUGACGCCGAAGCGCGAAAGCCAGGGGAGCGAACGGGAUUAGAUACCCCGGUAGUCCUGGCCUUAAACGAUGAAUGCUUGGUGUCUGGGGUUAUAAAGUCCCCGGGUGCCGUCGCUAACGCUUUAAGCAUUCCGCCUGGGGAGUACGGUCGCAAGACUGAAACUCAA
rnacentral:rRNA from 1 species